rnacentral:rRNA from 1 species
AUACGUAGGGGGCGAGCGUUGUCCGGAAUGAUUGGGCGUAAAGGGCGCGUAGGCGGCCCGGUAAGUCUGGAGUGAAAGUCCUGCUUUUAAGGCGGGAAUUGCUUUGGAUACUGUCGGGCUUGAGUGCAGGAGAGGUAAGUGGAAUUCCCUGGGUAGCGGUGGAAUGCGUAGAGAUUGGGAGGAACACCAGUGGCGGAGGCGACUUACGGGACUGUAACUGACGCUGAGGCGCGAAAGUGUGGGGAGCAAACAGGAUUAGAUGCCCUGGUAGUCCACGCUGUAAACGAUGGAUACUAGGUGUGGGGGGACUGACCCCCUCCGUGCCGCAGUUAACACAAUAAGUAUCCCACCUGGGGAGUACGAUCGCAAGGUUGAAACUCAAAGGAAUUGACGGGG